rnacentral:sRNA from 1 species
ACGGGGCUCGGCAGCAAUGGCACUGAAGGACUACGCGCUAGAAAAAGGUACGGGUCUACAAGCCUGGGAGGGCGUCCUGCGCGGGGAGCCUCCCGGGGAACACCUGUUGGUAAAAGGUUAAGAAGUUCUUAGAAGAGUUCUACCAGGAUGAUGAACUUGGGAAGAAGCAGUUCAAGUAUGGGAACCAGUUGGUUCGACUGGCUCAUCGGGAACAGGUGGCUCUGUAUGUGGACCUGGACGACGUAGCCGAGGAUGACCCCGAGUUGGUGGACUCAAUUUGUGAGAAUGCCAGGCGCUACGCGAAGCUCUUUGCCGAUGCCGUACAAGAGCUGCUACCUCAGUACAAGGAGAGGGAAGUGAGUGGCUAGAGAACAAUGGCAAACAAAGGGCGAGGCGUUUAAGCUUCUGUAGAGAGGCUGCUCAGAUACGAUGUUUUCUGAGCAGGCAGAAAGGAGGGGCACUUCUGCCUGGUGUUCUCUG